AGCAGGCAGAGCCUGGAGCACGGCAAGGACGGCUCUCAGACUUCCAGGAUACUCAUUUAUUGCAGAGAGCAGGUCUAAUUCCCUGCCCUGGAGAGGAAGACUCCUGCUUUAAAGAAAACUCUGCAGGGGAGGGGAGGGCAUACAAGAGAAAUUCGGAUUUCUACACCAUCCACUCUCAGGAUUGCCAGACCUCCAUGUCCAAUCACAAGGGAAGACUGGCAGCAGGUCCCUCCAGGGCUCAAGACACCAAAAGCCACAGGGAGCUCAGAGGUGCUACAGAGGCAAAAACGCAGAGCAGCCACUGGGAGCUGGGCAGGAUCAGCACCACACAAGGGUGACACUGUGACAAAUGUCCUGGUUUCACCUGAGAGCAGAGAGAGUGCCUGCUCGUGGCUCCAGCUUCCCAUGGCUCAGGCAGGAGGAACAGCAUUGCUUGGGAAUUGUGAGCACCAGACUGCACACAAACAGAGAUGUGACCAACCACCACGUGAGGGUUCUGGACACUGCAUUAGAGGAUUCCAUGUCCACUGACUGUCAGUGAUAUCCCAAGAGUUCAGCUUUGAAAUAAAACUACUGCUU